rnacentral:rRNA from 1 species
UGGGGAAUUUUGGACAAUGGGGGAAACCCUGAUCCAGCCAUCCCGCGUGUGCGAUGAAGGCCUUCGGGUUGUAAAGCACUUUUGGCAGGAAAGAAACGUCAUGGGUUAAUACCCCGUGAAACUGACGGUACCUGCAGAAUAAGCACCGGCUAACUACGUGCCAGCAGCCGCGGUAAUACGUAGGGUGCAAGCGUUAAUCGGAAUUACUGGGCGUAAAGCGUGCGCAGGCGGUUCGGAAAGAAAGAUGUGAAAUCCCAGAGCUCAACUUUGGAACUGCAUUUUUAACUGCCGGGCUAGAGUGUGUCAGAGGGAGGUGGAAUUCCGCGUGUAGCAGUGAAAUGCGUAGAUAUGCGGAGGAACACCGAUGGCGAAGGCAGCCUCCUGGGAUAACACUGACGCUCAUGCACGAAAGCGUGGGGAGCAAAAAGG